rnacentral:rRNA from 1 species
GGCGUGCUUAACACAUGCAAGUCGAACGGAAAGGCCCUGCUUUUGUGGGGUGCUCGAGUGGCGAACGGGUGAGUAACACGUGAGUAACCUGCCCUUGACUUUGGGAUAACUUCAGGAAACUGGGGCUAAUACCGGAUAGGAGCUCCUGCUGCAUGGUGGGGGUUGGAAAGUUUCGGCGGUUGGGGAUGGACUCGCGGCUUAUCAGCUUGUUGGUGGGGUAGUGGCUUACCAAGGCUUUGACGGGUAGCCGGCCUGAGAGGGUGACCGGCCACAUUGGGACUGAGAUACGGCCCAGACUCCUACGGGAGGCAGCAGUGGGGAAUAUUGCACAAUGGGCGGAAGCCUGAUGCAGCAACGCCGCGUGCGGGAUGACGGCCUUCGGGUUGUAAACCGCUUUCGCCUGUGACGAAGCGUGAGUGACGGUAAUGGGUAAAGAAGCACCGGCUAACUACGUGCCAGCAGCCGCGGUGAUACGUAGGGUGCGAGCGUUGUCCGGAUUUAUUGGGCGUAAAGGGCUCGUAGGUGGUUGAUCGCGUCGGAAGUGUAAUCUUGGGGCUUAACCCUGAGCGUGCUUUCGAUACGGGUUGACUUGAGGAAGGUAGGGGAGAAUGGAAUUCCUGGUGGAGCGGUGGAAUGCGCAGAUAUCAGGAGGAACACCAGUGGCGAAGGCGGUUCUCUGGGCCUUUCCUGACGCUGAGGAGCGAAAGCGUGGGGAGCGAACAGGCUUAGAUACCCUGGUAGUCCACGCUGUAAACGGUGGGUACUAGGUGUGGGGUCCAUUCCACGGGUUCCGUGCCGUAGCUAACGCUUUAAGUACCCCGCCUGGGGAGUACGGCCGCAAGGCUAAAACUCAAAGGAAUUGACGGGGCCCCGCACAAGCGGCGGAGCAUGCGGAUUAAUUCGAUGCAACGCGUAGAACCUUACCUGGGUUUGACAUGGAUCGGGAGCGCUCAGAGAUGGGUGUGCCUCUUUUGGGGUCGGUUCACAGGUGGUGCAUGGCUGUCGUCAGCUCGUGUCGUGAGAUGUUGGGUUAAGUCCCGCAACGAGCGCAACCCUUGUUCACUGUUGCCAGCACGUUAUGGUGGGGACUCAGUGGAGACCGCCGGGGUCAACUCGGAGGAAGGUGGGGAUGACGUCAAGUCAUCAUGCCCCUUAUGUCCAGGGCUUCACGCAUGCUACAAUGGCUGGUACAGAGAGUGGCGAGCCUGUGAGGGUGAGCGAAUCUCGGAAAGCCGGUCUCAGUUCGGAUUGGGGUCUGCAACUCGACCUCAUGAAGUCGGAGUCGCUAGUAAUCGCAGAUCAGCAACGCUGCGGUGAAUACGUUCCCGGGGCUUGUACACACCGCCCGUCAAGUCAUGAAAGUUGGUAACACCCGAAGCCGGUGGCCUAACCGUUGUGGGGGAGCCGUCGAAGGUGGGACUGGUGAUUAGGACUAAGUCGU